UACGGAGGGUGCAAGCGUUAUCCGGAUUUACUUGGUUUAAAGGGUGUGUAGGCGGGCCUUUAAGUCAGUGGUGAAAUCUCCAGGCUCAACCUGGGAACUGCAUUUAAGACUGUUGAGCUUGAGUAGAAUAGAGGUAAGUGGAAUUUCCGGUGUAGCGGUGAAAUGCGUAGAUAUCGGAAAGAACACCAGUGGCGAAGGCGACUUACUGGAUUCAUACUGACGCUGAGGCGCGAAAGCAUGGGGAGCAAACAGG
rnacentral:rRNA from 1 species